AACGCUAGCUACAGGCUUAACACAUGCAAGUCGAGGGGCAGCAUGGUCUUAGCUUGCUAAGGCCGAUGGCGACCGGCGCACGGGUGAGUAACGCGUAUCCAACCUGCCUUACACUCUUGGACAGCCUUCUGAAAGGGAGAUUAAUACAAGAUGUUAUCAUGAGUAAGCAUUUUCGCAUGAUUAAAGGUUUACCGGUGUAAGAUGGGGAUGCGUUCCAUUAGAUAGUAGGCGGGGUAACGGCCCACCUAGUCUUCGAUGGAUAGGGGUUCUGAGAGGAAGGUCCCCCACAUUGGAACUGAGACACGGUCCAAACUCCUACGGGAGGCAGCAGUGAGGAAUAUUGGUCAAUGGACGAGAGUCUGAACCAGCCAAGUAGCGUGCAGGAAGACGGCCCUAUGGGUUGUAAACUGCUUUUAUAAGGGAAUAAAGUGAGUCUCGUGAGACUUUUUGCAUGUACCUUAUGAAUAAGGACCGGCUAAUUCCGUGCCAGCAGCCGCGGUAAUACGGAAGGUCCGGGCGUUAUCCGGAUUUAUUGGGUUUAAAGGGAGCGUAGGCCGGAGAUUAAGCGUGUUGUGAAAUGUAGAUGCUCAACAUCUGCACUGCAGCGCGAACUGGUUUCCUUGAGUACGCACAAAGUGGGCGGAAUUCGUGGUGUAGCGGUGAAAUGCUUAGAUAUCACGAAGAACUCCGAUUG
rnacentral:rRNA from 1 species